CUUUAUCAAGCUAGCUAACUGUCUGACGUGUAUAGUACCUUCAUAUCUCAAGCUAGCUAUCUAGCUGUCCUAUAUUUUGCUUCUCCUAUUUCUACUUUUCCAUCUCAGGGUUAGGCCCCAUCAGGACAUAGCGAGCAGCAGGUGCCUUGGGGGUUUGGGCUUUACAUAUGGCUCUCUCCGCGCGGAUUCUGCGUCUAUGUGGAGUUCGCAUGUCCUCCGUGUGGCCGCUUGGGUUUACCAACAGAUGUUGCUGCUGAGCUACUAGACGAAUCUGUCUAGCCCUGUGUGUGAAGGAAACCCAUCCGUCCAUUUGGAAAUCCUUUAAAAAAGCGACGCCGAGUCCAUAAAGUUGGCGGCGUUCUGUUUAAUGCUGUAGCUUCAGGAAUGUCCGACCAAUGAGCCACACUGGGGGAUCCUCGCGUGAGGUAGGUGACGGCUCAGGGCCCGUAACGGGUUAAAUUGCUCUCGUUUGCCCGCCGGCAUAACCUUUAAGCCGUCGAAGAGCGGGAUGCCAGUCAUUCAGAAGGGGAUUGGGGUGGCACAGAAAAUGUAUCUGCUGUUCCGCUGCUUCAGUCUUUAUUUGUACGCGCUGUUGACGACACCUUCGGUCGACGAGCCCUUCAUAGCGCAGACCUCCAUUGUGCAGGACCUUUUAAUUUCGUCGGGGGUCCUGGCCUCGCUGGUUGUCGUGCCCACUGGCAUUCUUUGCAUUAAUAUUUUGAGGAGGGCGGUGAGUCAAUACACAUGCGUCGUCUUACGCCUCAACCAUGUGAGCUCCAAGAAAUGCCGCAUGAAACUGGCAUUGGAGGCUAAAGAGGAGGCGCUCAAAGAAAAAAUGGCAGAGGUCCUGUACUUUAAGGAGAAGCUGGAACGGACUAAGCAAGAGAAAAUGGCACUUGUGGCAAGUCUGGAGUCAUCGCGCUCCUACAUUAAAGAGAUGAAUCGGAGUUCCGAAAAACAAGUGGACCUCUGUGGAGGAGGCGACGGCAAAGGCGUACACAAGGACACGUCACACGUUGUAAGUGGGAAGACUAAAGCCCUGACUGAAGUCUCAAAGACUGGAUUUAAAGAGCGCGAAAGCCCAAUCGAGCCUCCCCCCGAAAAGGUGGAGGGGGUCAUGUUGUCCAGCGGGAGUUUCCUGAAUCGACUGAAGCGGCGCCUGAAUGGCGUCCAGGAGAAGGGCAAAAAGUCUCCCCUCCAUAAGCAGGACGAGCAGAUUAACUUGAAAAACAAAUCAAUCAAGAUGAUUGCUUAUAACGCGGAGACAAAGACAAGCAUGUCCGCAAACAGCAGCUUUUUCAAGAGCCUACUGAGCUGUCUGAGUGGCAACUACACCACAGACUCAAAGAACGUCUACAAAGGGAAGGCGCCGCUCAAGAGACGGAAGACAAAAGUUGUUCUCCGAAACAAGUCUCACGCCAUCCUGCACACCCCCUCUCCCAUAAAAGUGGAAGCGAAGAGCCCUCUGGCCAUGGAGGGUCGCCGCCCAGAAUCUGCCAAUUCAUCCAGCAGCAAGGAGCUCACCUAUCCCAUCCAUACAGAUGAUGGGGGAUGCCUCCUCACCGAAGGCCAGCAACAAGAAGAAAUGGAGUCUUCACUUUUCACCUCUGCAGAGAGGUGUGAGCCUCUGGUCGCCGCCUAAUGGCAGUCGAGUAACUCCAGCGAAGACCUCUAAACUCCCAUCUUCUCCAUGCAGUUCCAACAGUCACUUCAGCCCAGCUUCUAAAGAACGGCUUACUCUCGUCCUUGGCAUUUUAGUCGCCAAUGCUCAGGUGCCGUUUUUAAUAUUUCAGUUUAACAUUCGUGGAUAUUUUAGCCAGCUGGACAAAGUGGAUAGUAAAGGAGAAGAUGACUGGACGUGUUCUGUACAAGUCACACCAUUUUGGGCGAGCGUCUGCUCAUGGAGCAUCGGACCAGCAGGAUACCAAACACAAGCCAGGGGCCGUGGCACAUCGUCACCCCCUUGUGUUUAAAUCCUUUAGUUUCUUCACUUUCUAGGUGUUGGAUCCGAGAUCCCCUUUGAAGAGGAGUACUCCCCUACCUCCCCUCUGCCCACUGGAUUCUUGCUUCAGUGUUUCUGCAUGUUACAAACUAAAUUGGCAUAGGGAGGGGAACAGUUGUAAAGAGAAUAAGCAGUUUUUAAAUAUAUUUGUUUAGAGUUAAAAUUACGGAUUACUUAAAAUGGCAGAUUAUUGCUAAUGGCUAACAGCUGUAGUCAAUGUGGACUCCAUCAGUUCUAACUUAUUAAAAAUAAGAUAUCACAAAACCAAAUUCUGACUAUUCAAAAUUAUACUUUAAAAAUGUAAAAAUUAAACUCCUGUCCGAAUGUGAAUGACUAACAUCACCUUUGAAUAAAAUUGGUAAAGCCCCUGUCAAGUGAUAUCACACAGGCUGGUGUAACCCACAGCAACAGCAGGAGAAGGGAAAGUGGGCGCCUGCUAGUAAUAAGGGGGGAGUUAAGUUGACUUGAGGGGUCAGGAACUUCUAUUCGAACCUGCUGAACCAAAAUGAUAGUUUUUGCUGUUAAAUAAAACGGAGUCACUUCUUCUACAUCUCUGCAUUAUUAUUAAGUAUGCAUUCACAGGUGGCCAUAGAUUUUUGCAUAAAUGCCAGGCCUUUUCAGGGCGCGCACACACACACACAUACCAGUUAACGCAGACAGGUCUUUGAGUCAAUGCAGACAAUCUGAGGCGGUGGGUGGAGAAGACAUGCAAAAUUGAAUGGCACAGCUUGGUUGUGAACUUGGAUCGGCAAGGCAGCAGUCCAAACCACCAGCGCUUUAUUAACUUGCACGGGGCAGUUGAUGUGCUGAUGCAGGCCAGGUUGGCUCAG